rnacentral:tRNA from 2 species
GUCGGGAUAGCUNAGCUGGUAGAG